UAAGAACUGGCGUACGUGAAUCAUGCACCUCCUCCCAAUUUCCUUCUUGACCGAGUACCAACACUAGCAAUUGCAUACCAGUCUCUCCGUCUCUUUUCAGUUCUCUUUACAACACCACAGUUCAGUGUUUUUUUGCAGGGGAGCCUCAUGGAUUCUCAGGAACUCACUACUAGAGUCCAAUUAGUCAGAUGUCCUAUAUGUCGGCUGCUUCUACCAGAGUUGCCGGAUUUUAAGGUUUACAAGUGUCGUGGAUGUGGUGCCGUUCUCUGAGCAAGAAAUCGAGUAAGAAACGAGAGAAGAAGUGAGGGCUUAACCAUCGAAUCAGCUCCAGUGAAUCAAUUAUUAGAUCAUGUUUUUCGAGAUUCAGAAUCAGUCAGCUCAGUUGGUAU